AACCAUUUGAUCUGGCUAGUAUUUUUCUACUGGUUCUUUCACUCCACUUUAAAUGGUGUAGCUGAGCUGCUGAGGUUUGGAGACAGAGUUUUCUACAAAGACUGGUGGAACGCAGAGACUGUGUCUGAGUACUGGCAGCACUGGAACAUCCCUGUUCACAGAUUUGCUACUAGACAUGUGUACAAGCCCUUGCUGAGCACUGGAUGUUCUAGGUUCACUGCCUCAUGCUUUGUUUUUUUACUGUCAGCAUUUUUUCACGAGUAUCUAAUCAGUGUACCCCUUAGGGUGUUUAAAACCUGGGCUUUAUGGGAAUGUUGAUGCAGGUUCCUACAGCAUACUUGACAUCUAAGUUUGUCCGAGGCAACAUCACCAUGUGGUUGUCUCUCAUCCUUGGUCAGCCAGUGGCCAUUUUGGCCUACUUUCAUGACUACUAUAUUGUCCACUCCCUUCCUCUGCUCAACAACAGCACAGCAACGCCAGGUCUGUAAUUGGAUGACCUGUGACAGUGCAGCAGUAUAAAACUUUUGUGAUGGAUGCCUAGAGACCAAAUAUUUAAAGUGGUGCAUGGGUGUUUAGGGGUCACCAUAAAUGACAUCACACAAUCCAGAUAAUAUUUUUAUUCUAAUCUUCUUCACUCAAUGGUU